rnacentral:rRNA from 1 species
CGGGGUCAACUCGGAGGAAGGUGGGGAUGACGUCAAGUCAUCAUGCCCCUUAUGUCCAGGGCUUCACACAUGCUACAAUGGCCGGUACAAAGGGCUGCGAUGCCGCGAGGUUAAGCGAAUCCUUAAAAGCCGGUCUCAGUUCGGAUCGGGGUCUGCAACUCGACCCCGUGAAGUCGGAGUCGCUAGUAAUCGCAGAUCAGCAACGCUGCGGUGAAUACGUUCCCGGGCCUUGUACACACCGCCCGUCACGUCAUGAAAGUCGGUAACACCCGAAGCCAGUGGCCUAACCCUCGGGAGGGAGCUGUCGAAGGUGGGAUCGGCGAUUGGGACGAAGUCGUAACAAGGUAGCCGUACCGGAAGGUGCGGCUGGAUCACCUCCUUUCUAAGGAG